GAUGAAGAACGUAGCGAAAUGCGAUAAGUAAUGUGAAUUGCAGAAUUCAGUGAAUCAUCGAAUCAUUGAACGCACAUUGCGCCCUCUGGUAUUCCGGGGGGCAUGCCUGUUCGAGCGUCAUUACAACCCUCAAGCUUUGCUUGGUAUUGGACAUUGCCAGUUUCUGGCAGGUCUUAAAAUCAGUGGCGGUGCCAUUUGGCUUCAAGCGUAGUAAUUCUUCUCGCUUUGGAGAUCCAGGUGGUUACUUGCCAAUAACCCCCAAUUUUUUCAGGUUGACCUCGGAUCAGGUAGGGAUACCCGCUGAACUUAAGCAUAUCAAUAAGCGGAGGA
rnacentral:misc_RNA from 1 species